AUUAUGAAUUGUGGUUUUGAUUACGGGAGCUUGUGCUUGAUUAUGAAUGGUGGUUUUGAUUACAAGAACUAUGUGCUCGAUUAUGAAUGGUGGUUUUUGAUUAUGGAAGUUCUGUAUGCUCGAUUA